rnacentral:rRNA from 1 species
GUCGAGCGGAUGAAGAGAGCUUGCUCUCUGGAUUCAGCGGCGGACGGGUGAGUAACACGUGGGCAACCUGCCUGUAAGACUGGGAUAACUCCGGGAAACCGGGGCUAAUACCGGAUAACUUCUUUUCCCGCAUGGGGAGAGGUUGAAAGACGGUUAUGCUGUCACUUACAGAUGGGCCCGCGGCGCAUUAGCUAGUUGGUGGGGUAACGGCCUACCRAGGCGACGAUGCGUAGCCGACCUGAGAGGGUGAUCGGCCACACUGGGACUGAGACACGGCCCAGACUCCUACGGGAGGCAGCAGUAGGGAAUCUUCCGCAAUGGACGAAAGUCUGACGGAGCAACGCCGCGUGAGUGACGAAGGCCUUCGGGUCGUAAAACUCUGUUAUCAGGGAAGAACAAGCAUCGUUUAACUGACGGUGCCAUGACGGUACCUGACCAGAAAGCCACGGCUAACUACGUGCCAGCAGCCGCGGUAAUACGUAGGUGGCAAGCGUUGUCCGGAAUUAUUGGGCGUAAAGCGCGCGCAGGCGGCUUCUUAAGUCUGAUGUGAAAGCCCACGGCUCAACCGUGGAGGGUCAUUGGAAACUGGGAGGCUUGAGUGCAGAAGAGGAGAGCGGAAUUCCACGUGUAGCGGUGAAAUGCGUAGAGAUGUGGAGGAACACCAGUGGCGAAGGCGGCUCUCUGGUCUGUAACUGACGCUGAGGCGCGAAAGCGUGGGUAGCGAACAGGAUUAGAUACCCUGGUAGUCCACGCCGUAAACGAUGAGUGCUAAGUGUUAGGGGGUUUCCGCCCCUUAGUGCUGCAGCAAACGCAUUAAGCACUCCGCCUGGGGAGUACGGCCGCAAGGCUGAAACUCAAAGGAAUUGACGGGGGCCC